CCCCUUCCUCAUCUACUAGAUUUGGGGUUUUAAUAGUGGAGGAGGUUAUUUGUGUCUAGAUCUGCUUGGAUUUGUAGUUUUGUUGGUUGGUGUUUUAGUUGUAAGGUGACUGGUAUCGGUGGUGUUCUUUGUCUCCAAGGCAACGAUGACGUCUAUGGUGGCAGUGGCAACAACGGCGGUAAGGGCUUUGUUGGUUUUUGGUUGUUUGUUUGUAGUUUUCUUAUUUUGUAAUAAUUGCAUCAACUUCUUGUGAGUUUGGUGUUUGAUUAUUUUCUAGUCUUUACUUGUAUUUUGUACUUGUGCGAGUAAAAAGUUGUAGUUGUAUUCGUAGAUUUGGGCUCUGUGAUUCAUGUUUAGUUUGUUCAAGCAUGAUCUUUGUGCCUAAUUUAUGAAUACAAUUAUUGUUUUUCUCUUAAAAAUCUAGAGUAGAUGUGCUUCCCACUCUGUAUCCAAAUUCGAAUCCACAUUCUCGUAGUUUAAAUUAAUUUAAAAUAAAAUAUCACUAAUAUAUAUAUAUAUAAAUCUCAAGUAUAUAGACUUGAAAAUCAAGAAUAAUGUGGUAAACCAAAAACAACAUCUUUUUAGGCAUAAACACAAUAAAACCCAAAAACCAAGAGUAGAAGAUCCUGUUUCUGUUAUCCUCGGUUUUUGAGUAUGAGAUAAAUUACAGAGCUUCCAGAGUUUCAUUAGAUCCCACUUUUAAAGAGAAGAAGACAAUAAAUUUUUUUUUUUUUUUUUUGGCGAAAGGACAAUAAUUAUUAAUUAGUUGUUUGUUAUUGGCAUUGGCAUAAACGUUGGUUCCACCACUUUGGCAAUGCGACCACAACACCCAGACAGACAAGACACACUCAGACAAAUCACUUUUCGACGCAGCCUUUAACCGACGUAAACGCACGAGCACGAGCUCAGAAGCAAUAAAUAAUUAUGAGUAAUUAAAUGAUAAAAGUUUUCUUUGUUAACAAAGAGAAACACCUUUUGUUAUGUUUUAUAUGUCCGAAUUCCCCUAUUUUCGUGGAUAAAAAAUAAUAUAAGAGCAUCUUCAACGGAUAUGUUAAAUAUUAAUUAUUAAAUUUAAAUUUGAUGAUUGAUAUGGUAAUU
rnacentral:lncRNA from 1 species